UACGAAGGGGGCUAGCGUUGUUCGGAUUUACUGGGCGUAAAGCGCGCGCAGGCGGCUAUCCAAGUCAGUGGUGAAAGCCCGGAGCUCAACUCCGGAACUGCCAUUGAAACUGUUUAGCUUGAGGAUGAGAGAGGUGAGUGGAAUUCCCAGUGUAGAGGUGAAAUUCGUAGAUAUUGGGAAGAACACCGGUGGCGAAGGCGGGUUGCUGGGCUGACACUGACGCUGAGGCGCGAAAGCCAGGGGAGCGAACGGG
rnacentral:rRNA from 1 species